rnacentral:misc_RNA from 1 species
CGCACAUUGCGCCCCUCGGUAUUCCGGGGGGCAUACCUGUCCGAGCGUCAUUACACCUCUCAAGCUUCGCUUGGUAUUGGGCGUCGCUCUCUUAACAAAGGGCGUGCCUGAAAGUCAGUGGCGGUCCGAUGUGACUUGAGGCGUAGUAAAUUUCUCCCGUUCUGAAAGUUCGCGCUGUGUCCGGCCAAUAAACCCCCAAUCUCAACGAUUGACCUCGGAUCAGGUAGGGAUACCCGCUGAACUUAA